UAAUACGUAGGGACCGAGCGUUGUCCGGAUUUAUUGGGCGUAAAGAGCUCGUAGGCGGCCGAUCGCGUCGGAUGUGAAAGCUCAAGGCUCAACCUUGAGAGGCCAUUCGAUACGGAUCGGCUAGAGGUAGGUAGGGGAAAGUGGAAUUCCUGGUGUAGCGGUGAAAUGCGCAGAUAUCAGGAGGAACACCGGUGGCGAAGGCGGCUUUCUGGGCCUUACCUGACGCUGAGGAGCGAAAGCUGGGGGAGCGAACAGGAUUAGAUACCCUGGUAGUCCCAGCCGUAAACGUUGGGUGCUAGGUGUGGGGCGGCUACCAACCCGUUCCGUGCCGAAGCUAACGCAUUAAGCACCCCGCCUGGGGAGUACGGCCGCAAGGCUA
rnacentral:rRNA from 1 species